AAAAUCAAAUCCCUAUUAGGAUAAAUGAUUGAGUGUUCCUGUAAAGAAUUGUUCCCCUGGUUCAAGCAACCAGAUUUCAUUCCCAGAUGAUCAAAAAUGGACUUGAUGAAAUGGAAAAGCACUGAUAGAAACAGUUCCACUGCUCAAAAUUACUCCUGAAGGGAUGAGGACACCAGGAUAUGCCACCGGACCACUGAAGGAAUGGUGAUGGUAUGAAGAAAGUAUUUUUAAUGAGCAGAGCCAUUGUUUGCUCUGCUCUGUCCUCACCCCUCAAGAGAAUUUCCCUUAUUAUUAUGAAAACUUUUUAUCUUAAAAGAUAUUACAUGUUAAUGGAACUGUCGUUUAACAAAUGUUUUAUAAGUGUACCAAUCAAGCACAUUGUCGAAAUAAAAGAUAUGAAAUAAGUGAAAA
rnacentral:lncRNA from 1 species